AGUAGAUGGACUAUUUACAUUUACUCUGUUAACAUCAGAGCUCCGAGAGACGAUAGAUCUGAGAAUUUCUUGGCCCCUAGAAAUAGAUUCCUGAUUCUGAUUUACUGAAGUCGCAUCACAGGAUACUCUGUCUUUCCCCACAGGCUUUGUUGACUUACUCCGCCUCUAAGUAAAAUUUGAAAAAUAAUCAACUUAGUUAAUAUGUACAUAUUAUAUAUNNNNNNNNNNNNNNNNNNNNUAUAUAUAUAUAUAUAUAUAUAUAUAUAUAUAUAUAUAUAUAUAUAUAUAUAUAUAUAUAUAUAUAUAUAUAUAUAUAUAUAUAUAUAUAUAUAUAUAUAUAUAUAUAUAUCAACGGAAACAGAGAUUCAGCUGCAAUAAGCAAGAAAUCAGUACAUCUCCUAUGUGUAAUAAAGCAAGUUAUAUAUCACCUUAGGUUGCAGACCUCCAAGUCCAAGCCCCAAAGGUGUGGACCUACCACUCCCACUAGCCUGGCUUGAUGAUGAAUCAUGUGAAGCUACACCAGACAUCAGUGUUUUCUCUGCGAAUUUCCCCAGUGUAGCUGAAUUAGUGUCA
rnacentral:lncRNA from 1 species